rnacentral:lncRNA from 1 species
CACGCCUAGGCUCAGUGGUGGCCCUGGAAUUGGAGGCAAUAGCUGCAAUCACAGAGGUGGAAGAAAGCAAAAAUAAGUUGCAGCCUUCACUUGUCAGGGCUGGUAAUGGGGAGGAGGAACAAGGAGCAACCUUGGAGAUGGGGAGGAAGAAAAGAGGAAGCAGAACUUGCCUCUCCAGCAGUGGCUCCUUUAAGACCUCUGGGUAAGAGAGCUACUCUUUACAGCUACAGGUAAGCAAGUUUGUAAAAUAUUAAUCACGUCACAUGCACGUCAGAUUUUUU